UACGUAGGGGGCAAGCGUUGUCCGGAAUUAUUGGGCGUAAAGAGCGCGUAGGCGGUCCGAUAAGUCGGCUGUGAAAGUCAUGGGCUCAACCCAUGAAAGCCAGCCGAUACUGUCGGACUAGAGUCCGGAAGAGGCAAGUGGAAUUCCCGGUGUAGCGGUGAAAUGCGCAGAUAUCGGGAGGAACACCAAUGGCGAAGGCAGCUUGCUGGGACGGUACUGACGCUGAGGCGCGAAAGCGUGGGGAGCAAACAGG
rnacentral:rRNA from 1 species